AUGACCUGUGGUUACUGACCACUACAACUGACCACAUGGGACCAAUUCCUUGGUGUUAUGUCAUACCAUAAUGAACGCAACGCUCGCCAAAUACCCCUAACAAUGGAAUGAGAGCAUCUUCAAUGCUGCACUGGUUAAUCAAUAUGAAUGUAUUGGGGAAUUGAUUAGGCGCGAGUAAUGCACGAGCUCACUGCGUAGAGGGGAACUUUGUGGGGUAUAAAGUCCGGGGCAAGCUUCAUCGGUCAGCUGGACACUCGGACUGCACAGGUAGACUCUCAGAUUAAACAUGGUAUCCUGGAACACACUCGUAGUCAACAGCCUGCUUGUAGCUGCUGUCUGCUUGGCUACGGUAACAGCCAGCAUCUUCCCCGAUGAAGACUUCGGCUACAGACACUACGCCAAGAGGGAAAUCAGCUCCGAUUGCCUGAGAUGCGCGAGCACAUACAACUACAUGUCGUGUCUUCGAUGCUGGAACACAAGGUACGCCGUUAUUCCAUUUCACUCAAAGAGAUCGUCUGACACGUCUGCAAAUGAAUUCACCGGAAGUGAACCUAUGUCACGUGACAGGCGCUUCAUCGGAUGCAACUGCUGUUUAGUCAGCCGCUUCACCAACUCCUACUGCUGUGACGUAUGUAGGAGUUCAAACAAGCGGACGGGGAAGAGAAGUGACGCCGCAAGUCUGAUGUCAGAACCAGAGAAGAGGAUGAACCCCGCUUGCCUCUGUUGCAGCAGAUCUGGAUCCCCCGAAUGCUGCGAAGACUGUAUGUCAAGCUUUAUCCAAUACUGAAACUGAGAUCCCUAUAUUUAGAUGACAAUUUUGACGUAAUUGGUGAUUGACUGAUUGAAACCUACUGAUUCUAUUUACCCGAGGGAUGUCAUUUGAAAGUGAAGUCACUGUUUAUAUCUUUAGCUCUAACAACUGAUAUACCUUAGAGGACAAUGUUCGUAUCUGGAGCAAUAGAAACAGAGAGGUCAAAGUUCGGCGUAAGACUUGCCCCGUUUGUCUAAGGGCAACGAAGGUCUUAAAGUCAGAGUAAAUGGUGCCAACGAAAGUUGCUGAUGUCGUGAAGAGCCCCUCGACUGAUGUCGACGAUUGAUAUCGAACGGUGACGUAUCACGAGAACACGUCAAAUUGGGAACACAGAGUUGUUGAAAAUAUCCUAAAUCAUGAGCAUAUAAAAGUCAAUCAUAUUGUGUCGGUAACUAUCACUGAUUUUAUCUCUACACCUUCUAAGUUGACUUUACUGUUUCGAUGGACGGUAUAUUUUACGUUUUACUCAAUGGUGUACAUGUAUAUUAUAUGCUUUUGUAAAUAAUGUAUGUGUUUUCGCGCUCAAUGGAAAUGUUUUGGCGAUUCGAUAUUUCUUAAUUUAUAAAGACAUAGCUGAAUGGUCCUGGCCAUAAUUGAUAAUAAGUCUCAACAAUGCUUGUAUUUUUUGUUAAUGUGCGACAGUACUGGUGUGUUUUGUGUAUUCGCUUAGGUAUUAGGGAAAUAGUAGCAUUGGAUCAAACAUGUCCAGCCAAUAAGACUAAAUUUGCUAUGGUGUUAGUUAAAUAUUUGUGAAUUUCUUUUAUGAUAAAUAAUAAUACUCAAUCAGAUCUGAUCUCGUAUCCGAAGUUUUCAUUUAUGUCAUGAAUUGUAUACAUCUAUGAUUGUAACUUUUGUCAACUUAUAUAAAUGUCAUUUAUUAAAAAGAUAUUUUUUCAAAACG